GGGCGAAUGGUCUAGGGGUAUGAUACUCCCUUCGCAUACAUCCUAAAUCUGGGAUGAUCUUCCCUAAAUUUGGGAUCAUCGUGCUUGGGAGGGGUCCGGGGUUCAAUUCCCCGUUCGUCCA